rnacentral:tRNA from 1 species
GCCUGGGCGGGGUGGAGGGCCCCGGCGCCUACCGGGAGCUGGGCCUGCUGAUCGUGGGCGGCAUCCGGGCG